rnacentral:rRNA from 1 species
CCUACGGGAGGCUGCAGUGGGGAAUAUUGGACAAUGGGGGGAACCCUGAUCCAGCCAUGCCGCGUGUGUGAAGAAGGCCCUCGGGUUGUAAAGCACUUUCAGUGAGGAAGAACGCCUGGUGGUUAAUACCCAUCAGGAAAGACAUCACUCACAGAAGAAGCACCGGCUAACUCCGUGCCAGCAGCCGCGGUAAUACGGAGGGUGCGAGCGUUAAUCGGAAUUACUGGGCGUAAAGCGCGCGUAGGUGGCUUGAUAAGCCGGUUGUGAAAGCCCCGGGCUCAACCUGGGAACGGCAUCCGGAACUGUCAAGCUAGAGUGCAGGAGAGGAAGGUAGAAUUCCCGGUGUAGCGGUGAAAUGUGUAGAGAUCGGGAGGAAUACCAGUGGCGAAGGCGGCCUUCUGGACUGACACUGACACUGAGGUGCGAAAGCGUGGGUAGCAAACAGGAUUAGAUACCCCGGUAGUC